rnacentral:tRNA from 1 species
GUUCUAUUCGUCUAGUAGGUAAGGACGCUUCCCUUUCAAGGAAGAAACACGAGUUCGAACCUCGUAUAGAAUACCA